UACGAAGGGGGCUAGCGUUGCUCGGAAUCACUGGGCGUAAAGCGCACGUAGGCGGCUUGUUAAGUCAGGGGCUCAACCCUUGGAAGCCGGCCGAUACUGUCGGACUAGAGUCCGGAAGAGGCGAGUGGAAUUCCCGGUGUAGCGGUGAAAUGCGCAGAUAUCGGGAGGAACACCAAUGGCGAAGGCAGCUUACUACACAGUUAUUGACGCUGAGGAGCGAAAGCCAGGGGAGCAAACGGG
rnacentral:rRNA from 1 species